AACGAACGCUGGCGGCAAGCUUAACACAUGCAAGUCGAACGGCUUGUUAUCAUAGCUUGCUAUGAUAACAAUUAGUGGCAGACGGGUGAGUAAUGCAUAGGAAUCUACCUAGUAGUAUGGGAUAGCCACUAGAAAUGGUGGGUAAUACUGUAUAAUCCCUGCGGGGGAAAGAUUUAUCGCUAUUAGAUGAGCCUAUGUUAGAUUAGCUAGUUGGUAGGGUAAAGGCCUACCAAGGCAGUGAUCUAUAGCUGGUCUGAGAGGAUGAUCAGCCACACUGGAACUGAGAUACGGUCCAGACUCCUACGGGAGGCAGCAGUGGGGAAUAUUGGACAAUGGGCGCAAGCCUGAUCCAGCUAUGCCGCGUGAGUGAGGAAGGCCUUAGGGUUGUAAAACUCUUUCAGUGGGGAAGAUAAUGACGGUACCUACAGAAGAAGUCC
rnacentral:rRNA from 1 species